rnacentral:lncRNA from 1 species
GGGAGCUGCUCCUCGCCUCCCACCCCUACACCUCUUCCUGCUAGGACAGCAGAGAGGAUCACAGGGAAAGCCAAGGACCAAAUCCUCUGUAUCACCACCAGCUGGACAACAGUACUAGAAAGUUUCUAGCAGCCUCAGCAGAAUAGGAAGCAUAUCCUCCCCUCAGCACAGCACUACCAGUGGUGGUCCUUUUGGCUGCCACAUUUUAAAACCACCAUGAGGUUCAUCUCCUUCCUGUGCAGAGCAAACACAGCUUUCAAGCUGUGGGGAUGGGGUCAACCCUCGCUGGCAGAUUGGCAGGGUGGGAUUAUGUCAGCUCCCCCCCUCACGUCUUACACUCUUCUCUGGAGGAGGCAGAGGCUUGGCUGAAUUUGGGGACAGGGGUUUCCUGCUGAGAUGUGGCUGAGGAACCUUUGCCAUCUGUGCCAAAGGUUUUCCCUUAGUUGGACAACCUGUCUGAAGGAAGACACAGAAUUGGCUUCCUCCUCAGCUCUGGAAAGAUUUAUUGUUUCUGUGCCACAGAGUGUUGGCACAAAACCCCAACAGGUUUUCAGAUUCAUUCUGCUCUUUAAGCUCACUAUUGUUUGCAAACCUAAAAGGCUUUAUCUCUCCUCUUUAGGGAGCCCCAGACAAGAGAGGCUCACAGCCCAUGGACAGAAUGGCUCUACAGAUGACACAUUCACCCACGAACAUUUUCAGGAGACUGGGGUAAUAAGAGAGAUGUGCCAGGGGACAGGAUGUCACUGUAUCACAGCUUGGUCGUGCUGGAAGACAGUGACUGGUUGGGCCAGGACCUUUCCCAACAAGGUAUGUGGAUUCCCAGAGCUGGCAGUGUGCGAGCGCUUGCAGCUGCUGUUCCCAGGGACGGUCUCUGUGGUCUCUGGCAUUAGGAGGUAAGGUGCUAACAGCUGUGUCCCUGAGGAACCACACUGGACCUCACCAGGCAGCUGCAGGCACACAGCAGCUUGGCCAUCCCCAACACAGACCCGGUCCAGGCCCAUGUUCAGAGGCAAAGGCUUGCUCAGGCAGGGAAGGAUACCAGGAAGCGUCUCUAUGGGCUGCCUGCAGAAAGUCCUGGUAGACAGAGACCCAGUAGGAAGGGAAAGAAACAGCCAAAGCAGUUAAAACAAAUACACAGGAGGGAGCUGGCAGACUGGAGGCAACAUGCAGAGCCAGUUUCAGGCUGAGAGUCAUGUGCUCAGCCCCCAGCAGGGCUCAAGCCCUGCUGGCUCCAGGCUGGGAGAACAUAGGCACACACAUCACCGUGACAAACCCCACAGUGUGGGUGUGGACAGCCAGGGACACCUCUGCUUGGCCAGCACACAACUGCAGCAGCCAGCUCACAAAUUCUCCUGAGCUCAGGCGGGAGGCUGGAGAUGCCUUAAGGUCCUGCAACUCCAGCCAGGAAAAAGCACAUUCACUGCAAAGCUCAGCUGCAUCCUGGAGAGGGGUUACUGCUUCUCCCAGACUGGAAUUCAAGUGGCAGCCAAGGCAUGAGAUCAAGGCUAUCCAACCCAAGUGUGUGUAAGGAAGGGAGAUGAGAAAUACUCUGAUGGAACAGUUGCAAUGGGACACAAAGAUAAACAGGCAAGACAGGGAAGGAACCACUGCAGGCAGGUCCUUGGUGGGAAAGGCAGCUGUGGUCCAGGGCAGCUGUGUCCUGCUAUCAGUCCACAGAUGUCUCAGCUAGAGCUGAGAGCCAGAGCUGGUCGCUCCUACUAACCUAAGUGCAAACAUGAGAUGUGACUAACCAAACCUGACCCCACAACUGCUGAGCAGUUCAUGCAGCACCCAGGUUGCUCACUUAAGCUCUUACUUCCACUCUUGGUGGCAGGAGUUACCAAAAGAGGAAAUGCAGAAGUAUUGAAAAACAAAUGUAUUUAAAACACACAUACUA